GAUGAACGCUAGCGGCAGGCCUAAUACAUGCAAGUCGAACGGUGUAGCAAUACACAGUGGCGCACGGGUGCGUAACACGUAUGCAACCUACGUUACAUUGGGGGAUAGCCUUUCGAAAGGGAGAUUAAUACCGCAUAAGACAGUAACUUGGCAUCAAGUAGCUGUUAAAGAUUUAUCGAUGUAAGCUGGGCAUGCGUCCAAUUAGUUAGUUGGGGAGGUAAUGGCUCACCAAGACGAUGAUUGGUAGGGGAACUGAGAGGUCAAUCCCCCACACUGGCACUGAGAUACGGGCCAGACUCCUACGGGAGGCAGCAGUAGGGAAUAUUGGGAAAUGGACGCAAGUCUGACCCAGCCAUGCCGCGUGCAGGAAGAAGGCGUUAUGCGUUGUAAACUGCUUUUAUAUAGGAAGAAACGACCCUUGCGAGGGGCAUUGACGGUACUAUAUGAAUAAGCACCGGCUAACUCCGUGCCAGCAGCCGCCGUAACAC
rnacentral:rRNA from 1 species